AGUGAACGCUGGCGGUAGGCCUAACACAUGCAAGUCGAACGGCAGCACAGUAAGAGCUUGCUCUUACGGGUGGCGAGUGGCGGACGGGUGAGGAAUACAUCGGAAUCUACUUUUUCGUGGGGGAUAACGUAGGGAAACUUACGCUAAUACCGCAUACGACCUACGGGUGAAAGCAGGGGAUCUUCGGACCUUGCGCGAUUGAAUGAGCCGAUGUCGGAUUAGCUAGUUGGCGGGGUAAAGGCCCACCAAGGCGACGAUCCGUAGCUGGUCUGAGAGGAUGGUCAGCCACACUGGAACUGAGACACAGUCCAGACUCCUACGGGAGGCAGCAGUGGGGAAUAUUGGACAAUGGGCGCAAGCCUGAUCCAGCCAUACCGCGUGGGUGAAGAAGGCCUUCGGGUUGUAAAGCCCUUUUGUUGGGAAAGAAAAGCAGCAGGUUAAUACCCCGCUGUUCUGACGGUACCCAAAGAAUAAGCACCGGCUAACUUCGUG
rnacentral:rRNA from 1 species